GCCCUGAUCGCUUAGUCGGUUAAAGCGAAGGUCUCAUAUACGAUUAUUCAAGAUUAUGAGCCUGAUUAACGGGUACAUCCUUAGCCCCCAGUUCGAUUCUGGGUCGGGGCA
rnacentral:tRNA from 1 species